UACGUAGGGGGCAAGCGUUGUCCGGAAUCAUUGGGCGUAAAGAGCGUGUAGGCGGUUCGGUAAGUCCGCUGUAAAAGUCCAGGGUUCAACCCUGGAAAGCCGGUGGAAACUGUCGAACUAGAGUCCGGAAGAGGCGAGUGGAAUUCCUGGUGUAACGGUGAAAUGCGCAGAUAUCAGGAGGAACACCAAUGGCGAAGGCAGCUCGCUGGGACGGUACUGACGCUGAGACGCGAAAGCGUGGGGAGCAAACAGG
rnacentral:rRNA from 1 species